GAUGAACGCUGGCGGCGUGCUUAACACAUGCAAGUCGAACGAAACACCUUAUUUGAUUUUCUUCGGAACUGAAGAUUUGGUGAUUGAGUGGCGGACGGGUGAGUAACGCGUGGGUAACCUGCCCUGUACAGGGGGAUAACAGUCAGAAAUGACUGCUAAUACCGCAUAAGACCACAGCACCGCAUGGUGCAGGGGUAAAAACUCCGGUGGUACAGGAUGGACCCGCGUCUGAUUAGCUGGUUGGUGAGGUAACGGCUCACCAAGGCGACGAUCAGUAGCCGGCUUGAGAGAGUGAACGGCCACAUCGGGACUGAGACACGGCCCAAACUCCUACGGGAGGCAGCAGUGGGGAAUAUUGCACAAUGGGGGAAACCCUGAUGCAGCGACGCCGCGUGAGUGAAGAAGUAUUUCGGUAUGUAAAGCUCUAUCAGCAGGGAAGAAAAUGACGGUACCUGACUAAGAAGCCCCGGCUAACUACGUG
rnacentral:rRNA from 1 species